rnacentral:rRNA from 1 species
CCUACGGGUGGCAGCAGUAGGGAAUUUUGCGCAAUGGGGGAAACCCUGACGCAGCAACGCCGCGUGAUCGAUGAAGCCCUUCGGGGUGUAAAGAUCUGUCAGUGGGGACGAAACCUGAAGGUACCCACAGAGGAAGCACCGGCUAACUCCGUGCCAGCAGCCGCGGUACUACGGGGGGUGCAAGCGUUGUCCGGAAUCAUUGGGCGUAAAUAGUUCGUAGGUGGGACGUUAAGUCUGGUGUUAAAGGCGGAAGCUCAACGUCCGUAGGGCACUGGCUACUGGCGAGCUUGAGUGCGGGAGAGGUAAAGGGAAUUCCUGGGGUAGCGGUGAAAUGCGUAGAUAUCAGGAGGAACAUCGGUGGCGAAAGCGCUUUACUGGGCCGUAAUUGACGCUGAGGAACGAAAGCCGGGGUAGCAAAUGGGAUUAGAUACCCGAGUAGUC